rnacentral:tRNA from 1 species
ACCUGGCUGCCUCAGUAGGUACAGGAUGUGACUUCUGAUCCCAGGGUCGUGAGUUCAAGUCCCACGUUGGGCA